rnacentral:rRNA from 1 species
CGACCUCGGAUCAGGCGUGAUUACCCGCUGAACUUAAGCAUAUCACUAAGCGGAGGAAAAGAAA